UACAGAGGGUGCAAGCGUUAAUCGGAAUUACUGGGCGUAAAGCGUGCGUAGACGGUAGCGUAAGUCGGGUGUGAAAGCCCCGGGCUCAACCUGGGAAUUGCAUUCGAGACUGCUCUGCUAGGGUGCGGAAGAGGGAAGCGGGAAUUUCCGGUGUAGCGGUGAAAUGCGUAGAUAUCGGAAGGAACACCAGUGGCUGAAAGCGGCUUCCUGGUCCAGCACCGACGUCAGGCACGAAAGCGUGGGGAGCAAACAGG
rnacentral:rRNA from 1 species